GGAUUGUGGCUCAGCGGUAGAGUGCUCCCCUAGCAUGUAUGAGGUCCUGGGUUCAACCCUAAGCACCA
rnacentral:tRNA from 1 species